rnacentral:sRNA from 1 species
CUUCUGCUUCUUUUAGAACUUCCUUUAAAUGGAGCCUAGAGUAUGUACACAUAUACACAUGUAGUUGCUUAACAAUGUUGUGUUACAUUCUGCCGUACACAAAUCACACUAGGUGUACAAGUGUAUAAACAUAACCUCUUUCAUUUAAUUUUCUUCUAAAUUUAGGUCAUCACAGAGCAUGGAGGGCAGUUCCCUGUGCUACACAGAUAGUUCCCAUUAGUUAUCAAGGCAUUAUUUUCAAAAAUAUGCAAAUGGCUACGUAGCCAUUUGCAUAUUUUUGAAAAUAAUGCCUUGAUAACUAAUGGGAACUAUCUGUGUAGCACAGGGAACUGCCCUCCAUGCUCUGUGAUGACCUAAAUUUAGAAGAAAAUUAAAUGAAAGA